CUACGGGAUGCUGCAGUGGGGAAUAUUGCACAAUGGGCGCAAGCCUGAUGCAGCCAUGCCGCGUGUAUGAAGAAGGCCUUCGGGUUGUAAAGUACUUUCAGCGGGGAGGAAGGGAGUAAAGUUAAUACCUUUGCUCAUUGACGUUACCCGCAGAAGAAGCACCGGCUAACUCCGUGCCAGCAGCCGCGGUAAUACGGAGGGUGCAAGCGUUAAUCGGAAUUACUGGGCGUAAAGCGCACGCAGGCGGUUUGUUAAGUCAGAUGUGAAAUCCCCGGGCUCAACCUGGGAACUGCAUCUGAUACUGGCCAGCUUGAGUCUCGUAGAGGGGGGUAGAAUUCCAGGUGUAGCGGUGAAAUGCGUAGAGAUCUGGAGGAAUACCGGUGGCGAAGGCGGCCCCCUGGACGAAGACUGACGCUCAGGUGCGAAAGCGUGGGGAGCAAACAGGAUUAGAUACCCGAGUAGUC
rnacentral:rRNA from 1 species